rnacentral:rRNA from 1 species
ACGGGUGAGUAACGCGUGGGAACAUACCCUUUUCUACGGAAUAGCUCUGGGAAACUGGAAUUAAUACCGUAUACGCCCUACGGGGGAAAGAUUUAUCGGGGAAGGAUUGGCCCGCGUUGGAUUAGCUAGUUGGUGGGGUAAAGGCCUACCAAGGCGACGAUCCAUAGCUGGUCUGAGAGGAUGAUCAGCCACAUUGGGACUGAGACACGGCCCAAACUCCUACGGGAGGCAGCAGUGGGGAAUAUUGGACAAUGGGCGCAAGCCUGAUCCAGCCAUGCCGCGUGAGUGAUGAAGGCCUUAGGGUUGUAAAGCUCUUUCACCGAUGAAGAUAAUGACGGUAGUCGGAGAAGAAGCCCCGGCUAACUUCGUGCCAGCAGCCGCGGUAAUACGAAGGGGGCUAGCGUUGUUCGGAAUUACUGGGCGUAAAGCGCACGUAGGCGGAUAUUUAAGUCAGGGGUGAAAUCCCAGAGCUCAACUCUGGAACUGCCUUUGAUACUGGGUAUCUUGAGUAUGGAAGAGGUAAAUGGAAUUGCGAGU